rnacentral:rRNA from 1 species
CCCUUAGACGUUCUGGGCCGCACGCGCGCUACACUGACGGAGCCAGCGAGCUUUUCCUUACCCGAGAGGUUUGGGUAAUCUUGUGAAACUCCGUCGUGCUGGGGAUAGAGCAUUGUAAUUAUUGCUCUUCAACGAGGAAUUCCUAGUAAGCGCAAGUCAUCAGCUUGCGUUGAUUACGUCCCUGCCCUUUGUACACACCGCCCGUCGCUAGUACCGAUUGAAUGGCUUAGUGAGGCUUCAGGAUUUGCUUAGAUCGAGGGGCAACUCUCUUUCAGAGCGGAGAAUCUAGUCAAACUUGGUCAUUUAGAGGAACUAAAAGUCGUAACA